GUCUCCUGGCUGGCUCGCCA
rnacentral:miRNA from 1 species